rnacentral:rRNA from 1 species
UCGAGAAUCUUUCGCAAUGGGCGAAAGCCUGACGAAGCGACGCUGCGUGAGCGAUGAAGGCCUUCGGGUUGUAAAGCUCUUUCGCAUGGGAACAAGAGAGAGGUGUGAAUAACACUUUGAUUUGAGGGUACUGUGAUAAGAAGCACCGGCUAACUCCGUGCCAGCAGCUGCGGUAAUACGGAGGGUGCAAGCAUUAAUCGGAAUUAUUGGGCGUAAAGGGCGCGUAGGCGGAUUUAUAAGUCAGAUGUGAAAUUCCGAAACUCAAUUUCGGAGCUGCAUUUGAAACUGUAGGUCUUGAGGGAUGGCGGAGAAAAUGGAAUUCCACGUGUAGCGGUGAAAUGCGUAGAUAUGUGGAAGAACACCUGUGGCGAAAGCGGUUUUCUAGCUAUGACCUGACGCUGAGGCGCGAGAGCAAGGGGAGCAAACAGGAUUAGAUACCCGCGUAGUCC